rnacentral:rRNA from 1 species
CCUACGGGUGGCAGCAGUGAGGAAUAUUGGUCAAUGGGCGCGAGCCUGAACCAGCCAAGUAGCGUGAAGGAUGACUGCCCUACGGGUUGUAAACUUCUUUUAUAAAGGAAUAAAGUGAGGCACGUGUGCCUUUUUGUAUGUACUUUAUGAAUAAGGAUCGGCUAACUCCGUGCCAUCAGCCGCGGUAAUACGGAGGAUCCGAGCGUUAUCCGGAUUUAUUGGGUUUAAAGGGAGCGUGGAUGGGUUGUUAAGUCAGUUGUGAAAGUUUGCGGCUCAACCGUAAAAUUGCAAUUGAUACUGGCAGUCUUGAGUACAGUUGAGGUAGGCGGAAUUCGAGGUGAAGCGGUGAAAUGCGUAGAUAUAACGAAGAACUCCGAUUGCGAAGGCAGCUUACUAAACUGCCACUGACAUUGAUGCUCGAAAGUGUGGGUAUCAAACAGGAUUAGAUACCCUUGUAGUC